rnacentral:rRNA from 1 species
UCCCAGACUCCUACGGGAGGCAGCAGUGGGGGAUAUUGCACAAUGGGGGAAACCCUGAUGCAGCGACGCCGCGUGGGCGAAGAAGUAUUUCGGUAUGUAAAGCCCUCUCAGCAGGGAAGAAGAAAUGACGGUACCUGAGUAAGAAGCACCGGCUAAAUACGUGCCAGCAGCCGCGGUAAUACGUAUGGUGCAAGCGUUAUCCGGAUUUACUGGGUGUAAAGGGAGCGCAGGCGGCACGGCAAGCCUGAUGUGAAAGCCCGCGGCCCAACCGCGGGACUGCAUUGGGAACUACCGGGCUGGAGUGCCGGAGAGGUAGGCGGAAUUCCUAGUGUAGCGGUGAAAUGCGUAGAUAUUAGGAGGAACACCGGUGGCGAAGGCGGCCUGCUGGACUGCGACUGACGUUGAGGCCCGAAAGCGUGGGGAGCAAACAGGAUUAGAUACCCCAGUA